rnacentral:rRNA from 1 species
GAUGAACGCUGGCGGCGUGCCUAAUACAUGCAAGUCGAGCGAACAGACGAGGAGCUUGCUCCUCUGACGUUAGCGGCGGACGGGUGAGUAACACGUGGAUAACCUACCUAUAAGACUGGGAUAACUUCGGGAAACCGGAGCUAAUACCGGAUAAUAUAUUGAACCGCAUGGUUCAAUAGUGAAAGACGGUUUUGCUGUCACUUAUAGAUUGAUCCGCGCCGCAUUAGCUAGUUGGUAAGGUAACGGCUUACCAAGGCAACGAUGCGUAGCCGACCUGAGAGGGUGAUCGGCCACACUGGAACUGAGCCACGGUCCAGACUCCUACGGGAGGCAGCAGUAGGGAAUCUUCCGCAGUGGGCGAAAGCCUGACGGAGCAACGCCGCGUGAGUGAUGAAGGUCUUCGGAUCGUAAAACUCUGUUAUUAGGGAAGAACAAAUGUGUAAGUAACUAUGCACGUCUUGACGGUACCUAAUCAGAAAGCCACGGCUAACUACGUG